rnacentral:tRNA from 1 species
GCGAGAGUGGUGGAAUUGGUAGACACGCUAGAUUUAGGAUCUAGUGCUUUAAUCGGCGUGGGGGUUCGAGUCCCCCCUCUCGUA